rnacentral:lncRNA from 1 species
AUUGCUGCUUUUGGCACUCUACUCUUUUCUUUGGACCACACCUCGCCUCAAAACAAGUACUCACCUCUGGCUAUUUGAACUAAGUCACUAACCACAUCUGCAGUAAUAGGUCUGAAUGCGCUAGAUCGUACAAAACACUUACUCGCCCCCCAAGAGAUUCCUACUAAUAGAUCUAAGUAAAGAUACAACAUCUACUAGAUCUAAGUAAAGAUACAACAUACCCUUCUUUUGAACCGGAACAGAAACAUUAUUUCCUCGCACCUACCGAAGAAUGGGAUUGACUACUUGAUGAACACUAGUGGUGACUUGGCCCCGGCAAAAAGGCUGUUUUUGUUGAACUCUGGCUCAUAUACUUCUUAUACUU